GUAGGGUCCAAGCGUUAAUCGGAAUUACUGGGCGUAAAGCGUGCGCAGGCGGUUGUGCAAGACCGAUGUGAAAUCCCCCGGGGCUUAACCUGGGAAUUGCAUUGGUGACUGCACGGCUAGAGUGUGUCAGAGGGGGGUAGAAUUCCACGUGUAGCAGUGAAAUGCGUAGAGAUGUGGAGGAAUACCGAUGGCGAAGGCAGCCCCCUGGGAUAACACUGACGCUCAUGCACGAAAGCGUGGGGAGCAAACAGGAUUAGAUACCCUGGUAGUCCACGCCCUAAACGAUGUCAACUAGUUGUUGGGGAUUCAUUUCCUUAGUAACGUAGCUAACGCGUGAAGUUGACCGCCUGGGGAGUACGGUCGCAAGAUUA
rnacentral:rRNA from 1 species